UGGCUCAGUUUCCUGGGUGGUGGAUUCAGCUAUCCCACCUCCCCUCAGCAGAGCCUAGAGUAACAGGGGCUAGUGGCUGCCUGUGUGGGAGAGGUGCUUAAGCAAGGAGCCUUGCCUGGGCUGCCCUAGCCCCACAUUU
ensembl:scaRNA